AACGAACGCUGGCGGCAUGCCUAACACAUGCAAGUCGAACGAGACCUUCGGGUCUAGUGGCGCACGGGUGCGUAACGCGUGGGAACCUGCCCUUAGGUUCGGAAUAACUCCCCGAAAGGGGUGCUAAUACCGGAUAAUGUCUUCGGACCAAAGAUUUAUCGCCUUUGGGUGGGCCCGCGUUGGAUUAGCUAGUUGGUAGGGUAAAAGCCUACCAAGGCGACGAUCCAUAGCUGGUCUGAGAGGAUGAUCAGCCACACUGGGACUGAGACACGGCCAGACCCCUACGGGAGGCAGCAGUGGGGAAUAUUGGACAAUGGGCGAAAGCCUGAUCCAGCAAUGCCGCGUGAGUGAUGAAGGCCUUAGGGUUGUAAAGCUCUUUUACCCGGGAUGAUAAUGACAGUACCGGGAGAAUAAGCUCCGGCUAACUCCGUG
rnacentral:rRNA from 1 species